rnacentral:rRNA from 1 species
UACGUAGGGUGCAAGCGUUAAUCGGAAUUACUGGGCGUAAAGCGUGCGCAGGCGGUUCGGAAAGAAAGAUGUGAAAUCCCAGGGCUUAACCUUGGAACUGCAUUUUUAACUACCGGGCUAGAGUGUGUCAGAGGGGGGUGGAACUCCACGUGUAGCAGUGAAAUGCGUAGAUAUGUGGAGGAACACCGAUGGCGAAGGCAGCCCCCUGGGAUAACACUGACGCUCAUGCACGAAAGCGUGGGGAGCAAACAGG